ACUCAAAGGAAUUGACGGGGGCCCGCACAAGCGGUGGAGUAUGUGGUUUAAUUCGAUGCAACGCGAAGAACCUUACCUGGUCUUGACAUCUGGGGAACCCUACAGAGAUGUGGGGGUGCCGCAAGGAGCCCCAAGACAGGUGCUGCAUGGCUGUCGUCAGCUCGUGUCGUGAGAUGUUGGGUUAAGUCCCGCAACGAGCGCAACCCUUGUCCUUAGUUGCCAUCAUUCAGUUGGGCACUCUAAGGAGACUGCCGGUGACAAACCGGAGGAAGGUGGGGAUGACGUCAAGUCCUCAUGGCCCUUAUGACCAGGGCUACACACGUACUACAAUGGCCGGUACAGAGGGUCGCCAACCCGCGAGGGGGAGCUAAUCCCUUAAAGCCGGUCGUAGUCCGGAUCGGAGUCUGCAACUCGACUCCGUGAAGUCGGAAUCGCUAGUAAUCGCGGAUCAGCAAUGCCGCGGUGAAUACGUUCCCGGGCCUUGUACACACCGCCCGU
rnacentral:rRNA from 1 species